UUUGGAGAGACAAAAAACAAGGAGAAUGUGACCGAGCUCUGGUAUCUAAGCUGCAUACAUAUCCUUGGCUAUCAAGGAAUCAGUCCCCGUGUAGUACAUAAGUGAAUGAGGUGAUAGAGUACUGAGGUGGAGAGCCGAUUGAGAUGUUGUUUCGUCGAGGUUCCGGUCCGCAGUCCUAUUAUUACAUCAAAAUCAAAAAUAAAAAAGACUAACUAAGCCAAUCAGCUAUGAGUUACAAGUUUCCUAUCUAUGAGUCUUCUGAAGCUUAAUCUUGACUCUUGGUUAGUUCUUCAUGCGGACUAUAAUCUGAAUCAUGAUGCUUGUUAG
rnacentral:lncRNA from 1 species